UCCCUGUUACCAGGGCAGUCUAGCUAGAAAAAUACAACUAACUAUAAGGGUUGCGCUCGUUGAAGGACUUAACCUAACAUCUCACGACACGAGCUGACGACGGCCAUGCAACACCUGUCACUUGGCUCUAAUAAAAGCACUCUCGCCUUUCGGCAAAAUUCCAAGGAUGUCAAUCCUGGGUAAGGUUCUUCGCUUAUCAUCGAAUUAAACAACACGCUCCACCGCUUGUGCGGGUCCCCGUCAAUUCCUUUAUGUUUUAAGCUUGCGCUCGUACUCCACAGGCGGGAUGCUUAACGCGUUAGCUUCGCUACUGAUCGGGUCGAUACGACCAACAGCUAGCAUCCAUAGUUUAGGGCGUGGACUAC
rnacentral:misc_RNA from 1 species